UACAGAGGGUGCAAGCGUUAAUCGGAAUUACUGGGCGUAAAGCGCACGUAGGCGGUUUUUUAAGUCAGAUGUGAAAGCCCCGGGCUCAACCUGGGAAUUGCAUUUGAAACUGGGGAACUAGGGUGUGUGAGAGGGGGGUAGAAUUCCAAGUGUAGCGGUGAAAUGCGUAGAGAUUUGGAGGAAUACCAGUGGCGAAGGCGGCCCCCUGGCACAACACUGACGCUCAGGUGCGAAAGCGUGGGGAGCAAACAGG
rnacentral:rRNA from 1 species